CGUGCUGCGUUCAAUUACACUCGGAAAAUGACGUUUAAUUUUUUUCUCUCUCCCUUAAGUAGUUGAUGUACUUACCCAGAAGAAUUUACAAGAAGAAGAAGAAGUAUAAAUGCUCGAAAGACAUCCAAACAAACAUCAACUUACUGCGGCCAGUCAUGUUUUCCGAGGUUGCGCAGUGAAACACAUUUACCUCGGAAGUCGGAAUUUCCGACCCAGAUCUUUCCAAGUUCCGAGUGUAAUUGAACGCAGCAGAAGCAGCAGCGUUUUCUCAGGCACACCAGGCUGUAGUUCUGCACUGUUUUGUUUCAAAUACAAAGCCAGCUUACUUAUUUUCCUCUCAGCUUCCAGCAGCUCACAAAGAGAAAGUUAAUGCUGUGUAAUGCAUCUGUUUUCCAGAGCUUUUAAAAAGUGCAGUGCUGUUCCUGUCUGUAUUGAUAGUAGUAGUAAUGAUGCUGCUGCUAAUACAUCAGAGACAGCAGCUAGCAUAACUACUACUUUAGCAUCAGCAAGCACUGCUUCUCCUGUACCUUCCCCAACAAGUGCUGCCCCAAAGCAGCCUGCUCAGCUACCUAACCCAAUUCAAUGAAGAAAACACUGUUACUAUAAGCACAGGGGAAAAACAGUGCUGGAGCAUGAUGUGUACGCAUGAUGCCCCCUUCACAUUUCUGACUGCCCCCUCAUAUAUGCCUGCCUAGAACCGGCCCUGUGAAGCAGCCUUUAGAAGAGGGGAAAGUGAGGCAGGGCCAUGAGUGUUGCUACGCGAUUACAAGAUCAAACAUUGAUUGAUUUGACGGCCGAAACGUCUGCAGCUCACUGAUGGGAGCUUCGUGUCCUCAAAGUCAUCGUUUGACACUGAGACUGAGACGUUUAACCACAAGCUGCUGAAAACAGCCCACAGGGUAAGAUCCACCCACAGAGUCCACAGAGUUUAAAAACACUGCUUGAUGAAAACACGUCGGUGCUAAUAAAUUAAUUUCUGUUCAAUAUAAUAAUGAAGCCCGUCCCUGUGAUCAAAGCAAAGGGAGGUGAAGAUAAGGUAUAUAAGCACUGGAUUUCCCUCUCAAAGACACUCUGCUACCUGCUACUGCUGCAAGUGCAAACUCACCUGAUCGUCACAACAAGGUACGUCUCUCAUUCUUACCUUUCAUCAUGGCAUCAGCUGUUUAGAUUCUACAGAAAACAUUUCUGAUCUUUAUUACAUUUGGCGUUCACGUCAAGAGAAAAUCCUCUUUUCAUGUGUAAUUCUUUUCAAGGCCUUGUUUGUGCAAAACAUGUUUUCAUUCUAUCCUUGUACAUCACCAAAAGAGCAGUUUAGAAACUGUUGUUUUAAUGUUGUCAUUUAAGUCCGCAUUUAAACACUGAGUCUUUGCACAGAUGGGUUUUAGUAUGGCGGUUCCUCUCUUCACGGCUACGGCCUGUGGAAUGUCGCUUGAACCAGGUGUAAGUAAUGUGCACAAUGAAUUAUUCAUUUGAAAAACUCCUUUACUUUUGAUUGUAAACUUAAACCAAUUUUGAAACACUGUGUGUCUUUACACAGUUCCGGGCCUUUUAUCCCCUCCUCUGCACUGGGGAAUACUGAUGGGAGCACAUGCAUACGACACAUCUACAGGGAGAGAUGAUGGCAGCCAUAGCGACUGUGAUGGGAAGGCCUCCUCUUUCUGUGCCAGGCACCUGUGAAGAUCCCCACCAGGUGCUGACACAUGUGCCAUCAGGAUCCCCACUGAUGAUGUCACUUCCAGCAGUAUGACAUCACUGCUGGCAAAUCUAUUGACAGUUCUGAUGAAAUUUCAGCACAAUCAAUAAACAGAUGCAAACUCCCCAA